CGCGUUCACUCCUAACGGGAGGCAGCAGUGGGGAAUAUUGCACAAUGGGGGAAACCCUGAUGCAGCCAUGCCGCGUGUGUGAAGAAGGCCUCGGGUUGUAAAGCACUUUCAGUAGGGAGGAAGGUAGUGUAGUUAACACCUGCACUAUUUGACGUUACCUACAGAAGAAGCACCGGCUAACUCCGUGCCAGCAGCCGCGGUAAUACGGAGGGUGCGAGCGUUAAUCGGAAUUACUGGGCGUAAAAGCGCAUGCAGGCGGCCUGUUAAGUCAGAUGUGAAAGCCCGGGGCUUAACCUCGGAAUUGCAUUUGAAACUGGCAGGCUAGAGUCUUGUAGAGGGGGUAGAAUUUCAGGUGUAGCGGUGAAAUGCGUAGAGAUCUGAAGGAAUACCAGUGGCGAAGGCGGCCCCCUGGACAAAGACUGACGCUCAGAUGCGAAAGCGUGGGGAGCAAACAGGAUUAGAUACCCUGGUAG
rnacentral:rRNA from 1 species